rnacentral:lncRNA from 1 species
UGAUGUGGGAGGUGUGGGAGCACCGGCAGCAGGUCAUACCCAUCACUGUCAGAAUCGCCGGACGGGGGUGGAAUUAAAAUUAGAGGUGGGGGGAGGUUUCAGGAGAUGGGUUUUGAGAGAAAUGGAGAAAAAUGGGCUUUGAAGAGAGUUUGGGUUAGAGAGGAGAAAGUUUCGUUCUUUCUUUCUUCGGUUCUUGGGAAGGAAAUGGGAAUGGUGUUUAUAUUGAGAGAAAGAGGAUUGGAGAUGGUGAGAGAAGCCUGUACUUACAAUCAUGCCCUUCCAUCUCAGGACAAAAAUGUUGCGUCCUUCUUUAUUCUAAAUUUCGUAAAUUAGUCUCAAUGGUCAUUAGGGUUUUAGGGUUUUGCAAAAUGGUCAUGUAAUUGUUAAAAGUUAGCCAAAGAAAAUUGAAGAAAAAGGUAAUAAAGAGACAUGGCUUUUAAAUUUGCUACUAUUGUGUGGGGUCCUAAAC